rnacentral:tRNA from 1 species
GAGGCUGUAGCUCAGUGGUAGAGUGCUUGCUGAGCAUGUGUGAGGCACUGAGUUCAAUCCUCAGCACCACA